rnacentral:misc_RNA from 1 species
CUUCCCGCGCUCCCGGUACUGGCGGGCAAACCGUUCCGAUGCCAACCGUCGCACUAGCGGCACUGAUCGCACGUACACCCCACGUCCGUGCUCGGCGACUAUCAGGCCCUCGGCCUUCAACUCCUGCAACGCCUGGCGCACUGUCAUCCGCGCUACGCCGAAGUGCUCUACCAGCUCACUCUCCGACGGCAGGCGAUCACCCGCCGCCAGCUCCCCCCGCCCGAUGGCCGCACGCAACGACGCUGCGAUCUGCCGAUACGGCGGCCGGUCAUCCGUUCUAUCGAUGCCGCCAAGCUGGAUCACGCGCCAACUCCUACACUCGUCUGGACAUGUGCCAUAAUG